UGGGGAAUUUUGGACAAUGGGCGAAAGCCUGAUCCAGCAAUGCCGCGUGUGUGAAGAGGGCCUUCGGGUUGUAAAGCACUUUUGUCCGGAAAGAAAUCCUUGGCUCUAAUACAGUCGGGGGAUGACGGUACCGGAAGAAUAAGCACCGGCUAACUACGUGCCAGCAGCCGCGGUAAUACGUAGGGUGCAAGCGUUAAUCGGAAUUACUGGGCGUAAAGCGUGCGCAGGCGGUUUGCUAAGACCGAUGUGAAAUCCCCGGGCUCAACCUGGGAACUGCAUUGGUGACUGGCAGGCUAGAGUAUGGCAGAGGGGGGUAGAAUUCCACGUGUAGCAGUGAAAUGCGUAGAGAUGUGGAGGAAUACCGAUGGCGAAGGCAGCCCCCUGGGCCAAUACUGACGCUCAUGCACGAAAGCGUGGGGAGCAAAACAGGAUUAGAUACCCUGGUAGUCCACGCCCUAAACGAUGUCAACUAGUUGUUGGGGAUUCAUUUCCUUAGUAACGUAGCUAACGCGUGAAGUUGACCGCCUGGGGAGUACGGUCGCAAGAUUAAAACUCAAAGGAAUUGACGGGGUCAUAGCUGUUUCC
rnacentral:rRNA from 1 species